UACGAGGGGGGCGAGCGUUGUUCGGAAUUAUUGGGCGUAAAGGGGUGCGUAGGCGGUUUGGUAAGUCUGAUGUGAAAUCUAUGGGGCUCAACUCAUAGUCUGCAUCGGAAACUGCCGGGCUUGAGUAUGGGGAGAGGUGAGUGGAAUUCCUGGUGUAGCGGUGAAAUGCGUAGAUAUCAGGAGGAACACCUGUGGCGAAAGCGGCUCACUGGACCAUAACUGACGCUGAUGCACGAAAGCUGGGGGAGCAAA
rnacentral:rRNA from 1 species